GUCAGGAUGGCCGAGCGGUCUAAGGCGCCAGACUCAAGCCAACAGCUUGCCGGGACAUACGGUUGUAUAGAUUUCUGGUCUUCGAUAGAAGGCGUGGGUUCAAAUCCCACUUCUGACA
rnacentral:tRNA from 1 species